UACGUAGGGCGCAAGCGUUAUCCGGAAUUAUUGGGCGUAAAGAGCUCGUAGGCGGUUUGUCGCGUCUGCUGUGAAAGACCGGGGCUCAACUCCGGUUCUGCAGUGGGUACGGGCAGACUAGAGUGAUGUAGGAGAGACUGGAAUUCCUGGUGUAGCGGUGAAAUGCGCAGAUAUCAGGAGGAACACCGAUGGCGAAGGCAGGUCUCUGGGCAUUAACUGACGCUGAGGAGCGAAAGCAUGGGGAGCGAACAGG
rnacentral:rRNA from 1 species